rnacentral:rRNA from 1 species
GACGAACGCUGGCGGCGUGCCUAAUACAUGCAAGUAGAACGCAGUUGCGAACGGGUGAGUAACGCGUAGGUAACUGCCUCAUAGCGGGGGAUAACUAUUGGAAACGAUAGCUAAUACCGCAUACUGUGAGAUGGACCUGCGUUGUAUUAGCUAGUUGGUGAGGUAAAGGCUCACCAAGGCGACGAUACAUAGCCGACCUGAGAGGGUGUUCGGCGGCAGUGGCACAGAGACACGAGCCAGAGUCAGACGGGAGACAGCAGUGGGAGAUGUUCGACAAUGGACGGAUGUCUGACCGAGCAACGCGGGGUGAGUGAAGAAGGUAUUCGAAUCGUAUAGCUCUGUUGGUAGAGAAGCGUUAGCUAUCCAGAAAGGGACGGCUAACUACGAGCCAGCCGCCGCGGUAAUAC